rnacentral:rRNA from 1 species
AACGAACGCUGGCGGCGUGUUUAAGACAUGCAAGUCGCACGGGGCCUUUAUGAGUAGCAAUACGAAGAAAGGUUCAGUGGCGCACGGGUGAGUAACACGUGAAUCACAUGCCCUGCAGAGGGGGAUAGCCCAGGGAAACUUGGAUUAAUACCCCAUGGUCUCGCAAGAGUAAACGGUGGCUGGCAACAGCUGUCGCUGCAGGAUUGGUUCGCGCCCUAUCAGCUUGUUGGCGGGGUAACGGCCCACCAAGGCUACGACGGGUACCUGGUCUGAGAGGACGAUCAGGCACACUGGAACUGAGACACGGUCCAGACACCUACGGGUGGCAGCAGUCGAGAAUAAUUCACAAUGGGGGCAACCCUGAUGGUGCAACGCCGCGUGGAGGAUGACGGUCUUCGGAUUGUAAACUCCUGUCAUCCGGGAGCAAG